CUAACUAAGGAUAAUAUGCUUAAAUGACGCAUAGGUAAAGGCAAAGCAUGCAUUUUCUAUGCUUGUGAGGAAAGCAUUCAUCACCUGUUCUUUGACUGUGUGCUUUCCUCAACUAUCUGGCUCAUUAUGCAAAGUUUCUUUAAUAAACCAGUAGGCAUCAAUUAUGAAUCAGUAGCAAUAUUGUGGGUUUCUACCAAGAAACAUCUAGUCAUCAACACUAUUAAAGCUGCUAUCCUUUGGUGCAACUGGAAAUUUACAAACAACAUGAUUUUUGACAAUCUUUCUUGGAUUGAUAUCAAAGAGAUAUGGUGGCGGAUUCUGAGAACACUUGGAUACUGGGUGAUCUUGAUUCCAACAAAGGAGAAAGAGCAUAUGGGAGCUUUCCUAGGCCAUUUACUGGAGUUCCUCAAGCAACCGUUGUUAAUCAAUUGUGGCUGA
rnacentral:rRNA from 1 species